UAUAUCUAAGUAUAUGAUGUACAGAGGUUUUUGGUAUCUCAAGAGAUGGUUUAAUUCCAUUAGGUAUAA
rnacentral:tRNA from 1 species